rnacentral:rRNA from 1 species
GAGACUCUGUGCGCGUGCAUAUCAAUAAGCGGAGGAAAAGAAACUAACAAGGAUUCCCUUAGUAACGGCGAGUGAAGCGGGAAGAGCUCAAAUUUGAAAUCUUCAAGGUUCUACCUUGACGAAUUGUAGUUUAUAGAAGUGUUUUCUGUUAGUAGAGUGGCAAAAGUUCUUUGGAAUAGGACAUCAUAGAGGGUGAGAAUCCCGUAUUUGGUCAUUCUUUCUAGCUUUGUGAUACACUUUCAACGAGUCGGAUUGUUUGGGAAUGCAGUCCAAAAUGGGUGGUAAAUUUCAUCUAAAGCUAAAUAUUGGCGAGAGACCGAUAGCGAACAAGUACCGUGAGGGAAAGAUGAAAAGAACUUUGAAAAGAGAGUUAAACAGUACGUGAAAUUGUCAAAAGGGAAGCGUUUGACACCAGUGUUGUUUUUCCGAAAAUCAAUUACGAAUGUUUUGUUUUUAAGAAGUUAUGACUUUAUCGGCUUGCUUCUUUCUUUACGAAACUUUCUUAAUGCACUUUUCGGUUAACAAGUCAACAUCAAUUUCUUUUGUUGUAAAAGGGGUAUGAGGAAGGUGGCUUUCUUUUCGGAGAAAGUGUUUAUAGCCUUGUACCUCUGCAAUCGGAGAGAUUGAGGUCUGCAGCGUAGAUCCUUCGGGGUUAGAUACAUUUGUGCUAAGCUAUAGCUUUUUAUAGACAACUUGUUGACUAUAUUUAGUCUUGUGGCUUACUCGCUUAUGCUAUUUUACCUACGCUUAGGAUGUUGACGAUCAGCUGAGCGCG